rnacentral:rRNA from 1 species
AUGAUCGCUAUGAGCUGGAACUGUCGAGGGCUUGGGAACCCUGCGACAGUUCGUGAGCUUCGCAAACUUGUGAAGCAAGAAGGCCCCACCCUGUUAUUCGUCAUGGAAACGAAGAUCAGGGGGCAAUGAGUGGAGGAUCUGAAAACUACGUUAGGUUUUCAUGGUUGUUUUGCCGUCAAUAGUGACGGGCUUAGUGGAGGUAUCGGUCUCUUU